rnacentral:misc_RNA from 1 species
GAUGAAGAACGUAGCGAAAUGCGAUACGUAAUGUGAAUUGCAGAAUUCAGUGAAUCAUCGAGUCUUUGAACGCACAUUGCGCCCCCUGGGAUUCCGGGGGGCAUGCCUGUCCGAGCGUCAUUGCUGCCCUCAAGCACGGCUUGUGUGUUGGGCCUCCGUCCUCCUCCCGGGGGACGGGCCCGAAAGGCAGCGGCGGCACCGCGUCCGGUCCUCGAGCGUAUGGGGCUUCGUCACCCGCUCUUGUAGGCCCGGCCGGCGCUUGCCGACACAUCAAUCUUUUUUCCAGGUUGACCUCGGAUCAGGUAGGGAUACCCGCUGAACUUAAGCAUAUCAAUAAGCGGAGGA